UUAGGGAAGAAGACUGAGAGCAAGGAUUGUCCAGCACCACCUCGGGGUCUCAGAGGCGGUUUUGACUAGCAGCAGCAGUUUGGAAAGCACACUGACGACGGGACUGCUUGGGGAGAGCUUCAGAAUAGCGAGCUGCUUGCUUUGUGGAUCGCGAACAAGCAAGGAGACGCACUGUGGCAGAAAGCAGGUAGCAGCUGCAGGACCUGUGACUAUUUUUGGAAGACUCGAGAUCAGGGGAGAGCGCGAACGCAGUCCCCCACUACCACAAAUUAUGCAGUCGAGUUUCCCGCAUUUGGGGAAAUCGCAGGGGUCAGCCCAUCCGGAGUGCAAUGGAUAAGCCUCGCCCUGGGGAAACCACCUUCGUGAUCAUGGAAUCACCCCUGCCAGCCGCAAGACCUGGUCGGAGAAAACGGGACCAGAAAUCUCCUCAUCUGCAUACGCCCUGCCUCUUCCUGACGACGUCACCCACCUGUGUCUGAAUGCACACCGCCAUCUAAUGGCUGUUCGGAGGAACUUUAACGAGAAAAGGAAAGCGAAGCAGUGCAAACCUCAAGUGUUUUCCUCAGCUUAAUGAGAUCAGACCAGGUGCUGGGCUUUGGUCCUUGUCCAGGCUUGGAACCGAGCCCGUCAGAAGUCACACCUCCACGAGAGUUUGGACCCUUUCUGGAUUAGCCGUCCUCCUCAUCAUCCUGCCCAGCUGCGAUCCCACCUUCUCCCAGAAAACCCUUUCCGACCUCCCCAGUCCUGGAGGCGGAGGCUUGAGGACAGCACCAGUGAGACCGUGGUGGCCUGGUCACUGACAGGCUUCAGGUCGGGCACGUCCAUAGCACAGCAGACCCUUGCUCUGCUGUCCCCCCACCAGCUGCCUCGCAGACCUGGCCCUAGAAGACCCCUCUUUGCUUGACUGCAGCAGCCACGUCCUGGCCCUUUGGCUGUGGGCAGGCCCUUAACAUCUCUGGGGCCCCUUCCCGAACGGCAAAGGGUCAUAACGAUCGUGAGUUAGACCCGGGAGGAAUACUGGAGGCUUUCCAGUCCAUCUUGGUUCACGUUUUAGGAAAACGAGGCUCUUGUUUUCCAGCUAGUGCCCAUUUCAGACACUUGGACAGAAGCAGCCACAGGGUCAGUGCCUGUUGAGUGGACUUGGAACGUAAUGCAUUGCUUCAGACACCUUGCUAGUGAGAGGGGGAAGAUCUUCAAGUAUGAUGAAGUUGUCCCCGAGUCCAUCUUGUCCACCUUGUUCCUGAAAAAGGGAUCUCUUUGAAUAAUAAUAACUGACAUCACUGUAGAGAGAUAUUGGGAACAUCGGUUUGACUGGUAUGCCACCUGUUCCCCCACUUUCCAGCCUCUAGCAUUAAAUUUCCAUUCCUCAUUCAUACUUCCCUGCUCCUUAUUAAUUAAUUUAGAAAAUAUCCUCAUUUUGCUGGUCCUAUAGGUAAUAAGGAACUUUACCGUUGGUAUUAUUGGUAUUAUACUGCAACUUUGUCUCAAAUGAUAUAAGUUUGAACCUGGAGGAGCUCAGGGCCUUUCAAUGGAGAGUGGAUACCACCCUUGCCUCCCUACUGCCCCCUUCAGUCAUCAGGCCCACACACCAAGCCUUUCCGAGCUAGCAGCUGUUCUCUCCAUGUGAGUAGCUGUGAAGGUUGUUAAAGCUAUCUCUUUGUGCAGGAGUUCUUUAUCCAAACGCUCCUGCAUCACUUAUGUCAAGCUUUAAAGUUCCGUGAUCUUAUUUCAGCCUCACAACUGAGAAAAUAAUCAAUAAACAUUUAAGUUCCUACUAA